GACAUAGACUUGAUUUAAUUUUAUUUCAACCUUGGAAUGAACUAUAUUGACAUACUUUGCUUAUUACACAGAGUGGUAAUAAGCAAACCUCUCAUCUUACAGGCAUUGACCGUGUAACACGCAUUUCACUGACUUCACCUGCUCACGCCUAACAGAGCUCUAAACUCCACCUUCUGCGGAGCUGUUUAACACAGCUUGUGGCCAUCAAUAAUUAUUCCUGCUGCAGUUCAUGUUAACAGAGCAGCAGGAAGAGCGACCAGUUAUAAAUAAUUUUGGUCUUAACCAGUGGAGACAGUAAGCCGGUACCGUCCGCUACCGAACACACAAGAGGGAAGUAGGGCGGCUGCCAGAUAAAUCCUUCAUUCAGAACCAGUCAUGGCUGCACGCUGGAUCAGAAAACAGUUCUGCUAACCAGAUAAAGUCUAAAAAGUCUCUUAUUCUGUGUCAGGGUGCUGCAGGCGUACAUGGGCUGGGCGCAUGCCUUUUUUCCCCUCUCCCUUCUCCGCAGGUGGAGGCUGACAAGCAGGGAGGCGCCGCUCGCAGGUGAUCUGCGUUCAGUCAUCAGUAGGGACGGUUCUUAAACAGGCUGCUGUCAGCACCUCAUAGCCAAAGUGUCAGCCUUAAGUGGUGGAACCUGCCUCGGAUCCCGCUCAUGAGAACCCUUUUCCUCGGCUGAGCCGGCCAGCUCUCGGCCCGCUCAGCUGCUUAGGAAAAAAAACUCAGAAAGUCCCGAUCAUCCUCGCAAGUCUCGGCGUCUACAGAGCGCCGAUCAGCUGACAGCCUCCCUGCCGCCGCCCCCGCUGCACGAGUGACCGGACCCUGCCCCGCCCCCUCGGACGCUGCCAUCUGUCAGCUACCGCACCCUCUAUGAUCACCAGAAUCCACCUAGAACCGACGAUCCGCUUGGCAGCCUCCGCCCCUGGUCCAGGCACCAGCAGCUUUUCAGUCUUUGGUGCCCCCGCAGCAGCCGAUCACUCCCCCGGUGAAUCAAUUAUAAUACCGCGAUUACCACCUCCCGCUGUUACCAGACGUCCGGAGGACUCACAACAGGUCUUGAGCUUUAUAUUUAAUAAAACUCUUAAAAACUCGGA